UACGGAGGAUCCGAGCGUUAUCCGGAUUUAUUGGGUUUAAAGGGUGCGCAGGCGGCCUGUUAAGUCAGCGGUAAAAGCCCGGGGCUCAACCCCGGCGAGCCGUUGAAACUGACGGUCUUGAGUGGGCGAGAAGUAUGCGGAAUGCGUGGUGUAGCGGUGAAAUGCAUAGAUAUCACGCAGAACUCCGAUUGCGAAGGCAGCAUACCGGCGCGCAACUGACGCUCAUGCACGAAAGCGUGGGUAUCGAACAGG
rnacentral:rRNA from 1 species